rnacentral:rRNA from 1 species
GGUUAAGUUAGAAAGGGCGCACGGUGAAUGCCUUGGCACUAGGAGCCGAUGAA